CCUACGGGUGGCAGCAGUGAGGAAUAUUGGUCAAUGGACGCAAGUCUGAACCAGCCAUGCCGCGUGCAGGAAGACGGCUCUAUGAGUUGUAAACUGCUUUUGUACGAGGGUAAACGCAGAUACGCGUAUCUGUCUGAAAGUAUCGUACGAAUAAGGAUCUGCUAACUCCGUGCCAGCAGCCGCGGUAAUACGGAGGAUUCAAGCGUUAUCCGGAUUUAUUGGGUUUAAAGGGUGCGUAGGCGGUCGGAUAAGUUAGAGGUGAAAUUCCGAGGCUCAACUUCGGAAGUGCCUCUGAUACUGUUCGGCUAGAGAGUAGUUGCGGUAGGCGGAAUGUAUGGUGUAGCGGUGAAAUGCUUAGAGAUCAUACAGAACACCGAUUGCGAAGGCAGCUUACCAAGCUACUUCUGACGUUGAGGCACGAAAGCGUGGGGAGCAAACAGGAUUAGAUACCCUAGUAGUC
rnacentral:rRNA from 1 species